rnacentral:rRNA from 1 species
CCUACGUGUGGCAGCAGUGGGGAAUAUUGGGCAAUGGGCGCAAGCCUGACCCAGCAACGCCGCGUGAAGGAAGAAGGCUUUCGGGUUGUAAACUUCUUUUCUCAGGGACGAAGCAAGUGACGGUACCUGAGGAAUAAGCCACUGCUAACUACGUGCCAGCAGCCGCGUUAAUGCGUAUGUGGCAAGCGUUAGCCGGAUUUGCUGGGUGUAAAGGGCGUGUAGGCGGGGACGGAAGUCAGAUGUGAAAACCACGGGCUCAACCUGUGGCCUGCAUUUGAACCUGUGUUUCUUGAGUACUGGAGAGGCAGACGGAAUUCCUAGUGUAGGAGUGAAAUGCGUAGAUAUUAGGAGGAACACCAGUGGCGAAGGCGGGCUGCUGGACAGCAACUGACGCUGAGGCGCGAAAGCGUGGGGAGCAAACAGGAUUAGAUACCCCUGUAGUC